rnacentral:rRNA from 1 species
GACGAACGCUGGCGGCGUGCCUAAUACAUGCAAGUAGAACGCUGAAGGGGGAGCUUGCUUCUCCGGAUGAGUUGCGAACGGGUGAGUAACGCGUAGGUAACCUGCCUGGUAGCGGGGGAUAACUAUUGGAAACGAUAGCUAAUACCGCAUAAUAGUAGAUGUUGCAUGACAUUUGCUUAAAAGGUGCAAUUGCACCACUACCAGAUGGACCUGCGUUGUAUUAGCUAGUUGGUGGGGUAACGGCUCACCAAGGCGACGAUACAUAGCCGACCUGAGAGGGUGAUCGGCCACACUGGGACUGAGACACGGCCCAGACUCCUACGGGAGGCAGCAGUAGGGAAUCUUCGGCAAUGGACGGAAGUCUGACCGAGCAACGCCGCGGGAGUGAAGAAGGUUUUCGGAUCGUAAAGCUCUGUUGUAAGAGAAGAACGAGUGUGAGAGUGGAAAGUUCACACUGUGACGGUAUCUUACCAGAAAGGGACGGCUAACUACGUG